rnacentral:misc_RNA from 1 species
UCCGAGUUGACCCCGGCAGUCUCCUAUGAGUCCCCGCCAUCACGCGCUGGCAACAUAGAACGAGGGUUGCGCUCGUUGCGGGACUUAACCCAACACCUCACGGCACGAGCUGACGACAACCAUGCAGCAUCUGUGGCGGCUCCCCGAAGGGUCCCCCAACCUUUCGGCCGGGGUACCACCGUCAUGUCAAGUCUUGGUAAGGCUCUUCGCUUUGCAUCGAAUUAAACCACACGCUCCGCUGCUUGUGCGGGCCCCCGUCAAUUCCUUUGAGUUUCAGCCUUGCGGCCGUACUCCCCAGGCGGGGUGCUUAACGCGUUAGCUGCGACACUGACGGGGUCGCUCCCCCCAGCAUCUAGCACCCAUCGUUUACGGCGUGGACUAC